CCUACGGGAGGCAGCAGUGAGGAAUAUUGGUCAAUGGACGAGAGUCUGAACCAGCCAAGUAGCGUGAAGGAUGACUGCCCUAUGGGUUGUAAACUUCUUUUAUAAAGGAAUAAAACGAGGCACGUGUGCCUUUUUGCAUGUACUUUAUGAAUAAGGAUCGGCUAACUCCGUGCCAGCAGCCGCGGUAAUACGGAGGAUCCGAGCGUUAUCCGGAUUUAUUGGGUUUAAAGGGAGCGUAAGGGGGUGUUAAAGUCAGUGGUAAAAUUUUGGGGCUCAACCGUAAAAUGCCAUUGAGACUGGCAGUCUUGAGUACAGUUGAGGUAAGCGGAAUGCGUGGUGUAGCGGUGAAAUGCUUAGAUAUCACGAAGAACCCCGAUUGCGAAGGCAGCUUACUAAACUGUGACUGACAUUGAUGCUCGAAAGUGUGGGUAUCAAACAGGAUUAGAUACCCUGGUAGUC
rnacentral:rRNA from 1 species